UUUACAUUGGUAAAUAGGGUUUAGUAUUGGUUUAAUAGAAAAACAUUGUAUUCCUCUUAAUUCCUUUUAAAAUACAUCAAACUCACCAUAGUAAACAAGUAACAUUGUCUAGUGGGGUCUUUAUGUACAGAGAUUUGAGACAUAUGUCUGAAAAGUGUGACAUAAAGAUGGAAGGAGCAAAAUCAACAUGUAGAAUCUCAGGGUUUCUCUAUCUUAGGUAAAUUACACUAUUAGUAACUCUAGGUAAACUGUGACUAUUCGGGAAAAUGUAUUCAUAUCCCGACAAUAGCACUGAGGACGAUGCAAGACAUAUGCCCAAAAUGCCAAAGAAAAAUUAAAAUGAGGUUUUUGUAAUUCAGAUAAUCCAAAGGAAGGCAGGAAAUGGGGAGAAAGAAGCAAGACCCCUAACAGCAGUAUCUGACACAGAGCAAGGAAAACAACUUUAGUUAAUGUCAUUUUAACAGUAAAAUAUGGAAUGUUUGAUUUGUAUCUGGGAGACACCGAGGUCGUCCAGCCUCAUCACUUUAUUCAGCAUUACAUUUCAAGGUCUAAGUAAUUUAAAUAAGGUAAUAACAAUUUGUAAAAGUAUAAAGACUAAACAGGAAAAAGUAAAACUUUCUCUGGAUGAAAACGUGUUGUUCAAGCAGGAAAUUCUAGGAAAUCUACAAAACAUAGAAUGUAACUCAUUCGUAAGAUCACAGAAUAUAAACAUAACACAAAAAUGAUUAUUCUUUAUAUACUUUAAUAAGCAAUGGAAAGAUUAAAAAGAACCUUAGGAUAUGUUAAAACCCAUAAGUAUUUAAGAGCAAAUAUUUCUUAAAGUUUUACUGAAAAUUAUAGAACACUGCUGAGAGAAAUAAAGAAGAUACAAAUAAAUGUAAUGAGGCAUACCAUGUUUAUGGAUUGGAAGAUUCAAUGCUCUUGAGGAACCAAUUCUCCAAAAACUGAUGUAUGUAUACAGAGCAAUAUAGAUCAAAAUUCUAUAAGAACUUUCCAUAUAAAUAGGCUGAUUUUAUGUGAGUGUGCCAACUAACCAGAAUAAUGAAAGUAGUUUUAAUAAUCAAAAAAUAGGCUUGGAUGGUUUGUACUACAUGACUUCAAGACUUACCAUAAAGCUAAAAUAAUCAAGACAGUGCAGUAUUGAGUAAACUUUAGACAUAGAUUACGGAAACAAAAAAAAAAGACAUUUUGUAAAUAAAUCCACAUAUGUAUUGGAUACAUCCUUAUGCAUGCAGGCCAAUUGAUUUUAAUUUUUUAAAUUUUUCUUAUACUUGAUUUACAAUGUUCAUUCAAUUUCCACUCAACAGUAUAGUGACCCAGUCACACGUACACACCCAUUUAAUUUUUUCAUUAUUGAUCAAGUUCUUACCCAAGGGACUAGAUGUGUUGCCCUGUGCUGUACAGCAGGACCCCAUCACCCAUUAGUUCGAAAUGUAACAGUCUGCAUCUCCCAACCCCAAACACAACCGUCAGCCUCCAUCUCUCCCCCCUCUCUGCUGGCAAACGCAAGUUGGCCCUCCAUGUCCAUGAUCUGUUUCUGUUUUGUAAAUAGGUCAUUGGUGCCAUAUUUUAGACUCCACAUAUAAGUGAUAUCAUGUGGUAUUUGUCUUUCUCGUUCUUACUUCACUUAGUGUGAGAAUCUCUAGUUCUAUCCAUGUUGCUGCAAACUGCAGUAUUUCGUCCUUUUUAUGACUGAAUAGUACUCCAUUAUAUAUGUACCACAUCUUCUUAAUCCAUUCAUCUGUUGAGGGAUAUAUAGGUUGUUUCCAAGUCUUGGCUUUUGUGACUAGUGCUGUACUGAAAAUAUGGGUACAUGUAUCUUUUUAAAUGAGAGUUUUGUCUGGAUAUAUGCCCAAGAGUGGGAUUACUGGGUCGUAUGGUAGUUCAUAUUUAGUUUUCUGAGGUAUUUCCAUACUGUUUUCCAUAGUGGUUGUACCAAUUUACAUUCCCACCAACAGUGAAGGAGGGUGCCCUUUACUCCACACUCUCUCCACCGUUUGCUCUUUGUUGUCUUAUGAAUCAUGGCCACUCUAACCGGUGUGAGGUGGUACCUCAUUGCAGUUUUGAUUUGCAUUUCUCUAAUAAUUAGUGAAGCUGAGCAUUUCUUCAUGGACCUGUUGGCCACCUGUAUGUCUUCUUUGGAGAAAUGUCUGUUUAGGAUUUCCACCCCCUCAUCUAUUGGGUUGUAUUUUUGCUGUUGGGUUGUAUGAGUUGUUUGUAUAUUUUGGAGAUUGAACCGUUGUGUGUUGAAUCAUUAGCAAAGAAUUUCUCCCAUCCUGUGGGUUAUCUUUUUAUUUUCUUUAAUGCCUUCCUUUGAUGUGCAGAAGUUUUUGAGUUUAAUUAGGCCCCAUUGGUUUUAUUUUUGUCUAUAUUUUCAUUAUUCUAGAAGGUGGAUCAAAAAGACGUUGCUGUGAUUUAUGUCAAAGUGCAUUCUGCCUAUGUUUUCCUCUAGGAGGUUUAUAGUAUCUGGCUUUCCAUUUAAGUCCUGAAUUCAUUUUAUUUCUGAGUAUGGUGUUAGAAAAUAUUCCAAUGUCAUUCUCGUACAUGCGGUUGUCUGGUUUUCCCGGCACCAUUUACUGAAGAGAUUAUCUUUCCUUCACUGUAUGUUCGCGCCUCCUUUGUCAUAGAUUCAUUGACCAUGGGUGCUUGGGUUUAUUUAUGGGCUUUCUAUCCUGUUCCAUUGAUCCAUAUUUCUGUUUUUGUGCUAAUACCACACUGUUUUGAUUAUUAAUGCUUUGUAGCAAAGUCUGAAGACUGGUAGCCUAAGUGUUCCUGUUCCAUUUUUCCUUUUCAAUAUUGCUUUGGCUAUUCGAGGUCUUUUGUAUUUCCAUACAAAUUUUAAAAUGUAUUGUUCUAGUUCUAUAGGCAAUUUGACAUGGAUUACAAUGAAUCUGUAGAUUGCCUUAGGUAGUAUUGCCAUUUUGACUAUAUUGAUUCUUCUGAUCCAAGAGCAUUGUAUAUCUUUCCAUGUAUCUGAGUCAUUUUGAUUUCUUUCAUCGCUGUCUUAUAGUUCAGAAUAUAGGUCUUUUGUCUCUUUAGGUAGGUUUAUUCCUAGCUGUUUUAUUUUGUGUGUGUUAUGGUAAAUGGGAUGGUUUCCCUAAUUUCUCUUUCUGGUUUUUCAUCGUUAGUAUAUAGAAAUGCAAUUGAUUUCUGCAUAUUACUUUUGUAUCCUGCAACAAUACCAAAUGCAUUGAUGAGCUCUCACACUUUUAUGGUAGUGUUUUUAGGAUUUUCUAUGUAUGGAGAAGAGUGACAGUUUUACUUCUUCUUUUCCAAUUUGGAUGCCUUUUAUUUCUUUUUAUUCUCUGAUUGUCAGGGCUAGGAUUUCCAAAACUCUGUUCAAUAAUGUUGGUGAAAAGGAACAUCCUUGUCUGGUUCCUGAUCUUGUUCUUCUCCAUUCCUUUUGUUAUGGUGUUUAGCUUCAUUUAUUUUUCGCAGUAAAUAACACUUUAUUUCCGUUACUUUUCCUGAAGCUGACUUACAAUGCAUUUGGAAGAGUAUUGAAUGAAGAUGGCAGAAAGAUAGAUCAUUUAGGGUAGAGAGACAUAGCAGAGCAGCAGCACAUAGCCCCAUCUGUCUUUGGCAUAUUGUAUCACAGGCAUCCCUAGAAAAUCAAUGGUGUGAACUCAAAAUUCACUAAUCAUUCUCUGAAUAGCUGCAUAAGAAAAAAACUACCCAUCUCUAGUUAUCAGAGCUAUUUUGCAGAAAGCAGAAAUCCCAGCCCCUCAAGAAACAAGUACAGUAAGACCUGGAGACAGAGAUCCAGUCUGUAAGACCAGAUGACUAGUAGUGAUGGCUAUUGGUUAUAACUGGUUCCAGGGAAGAGGACACUAUGCCAGCAAUAAGGGCUUGAUAUUGUUAAUUUUACAAUAUUUGGGGUGGGCAUAAUAAGAGUUUAUAUAGUCCUUGUUCCUAGGUAUGCACUGUGACAUGUCUCAUGACAAAUACUCCAAAAGCAGCAUCUUGGACUCUGAUUCUCAUGCAAGUGAUUUAGUGAGGGGUGAUCUUAGGGGGAAAACUUUAAAGAGAGAGAGAGGGGCUGGACAAGGCAUGGGGAGAAGCCCAAUGAAAGAUAUGGACUCUGCUGAAAUGUAGCCUCAGUCAGACCCCAUGGGGAGCACUGGAGCAGGAAUGGCACCAGAGCUGUCCUACCCUCUGACCACAGGGUGUUUUUCUCAUAAUCACUUUGAAAUACUUCAUCAUUGAUUUGUUGGCUCUGGGGCAGCCCAGGAUGAGGAUGAACUCCCAGACAUUGUCAGUCAAUUUUGUUCCCUUUGGCCAAGAGCAGUUCGUAGAAGAGUACAUUAGCAGCUGUAUGUAUUCUUUCGUUCACUGAAAAGCAGAUGAAAUGUUCACUGGCCUAGUCAUGGAGUUGAAGAAAAGGCACAACUUUAUGUCUUUCCUUAUAGAAUUCAUUCUUACUGUUUCAAUUUAUUUCUUAGUUUGUACGCAUUAUUCAAGUAGGGGCUUCUUGUGAAGUAGGAUUUGUUCUGAACAUUAAAAAAAUGGGCAAGAGUUUGGAUGACUGAACUUAGGACCUGGGAUUUUAGGACACACAGAGCAGAGUGCACUAUGAAAACAGUGCAGACAUUAAGCAGAAGGCAGUGUGUUGACUGGUUGCCAUAAGGUGUUGAGGUUCUGAAUGCAGAUAUUGGAGGUAAGACUGGUAGUGCGUUAGUAAGAAGGUGGUACAGAUAUUGGAAAACUCCCAGGCUGAUAAGAGAGGAAAUUAGAAGGUAUUUGCAGAUUUUAAUAAAUGCCAGUAGAGUAACUGGGGAUUUGGAGGAAAGAGGAUUUUCCUUCAGAGAAAGUUCUUCUCUGAGAGCGAAAUCACAGUGCUUUUACUGUGUCUUGAUGUUUGCGUUCAUCUUCUUCUGAAUGUUUCCCCAGGCAAUAGCUUCCCAGGUCAUGCCAUUCCCUUGCCCUGUGUAUAAGACAGAGGAGUCAUGAGGAACUUGCCAAAUUUUCAGAAUGGACAGGAAAUGAUAUCAUGCAGGAAAUAAAAUAUCCUUGAGGAAAUCCUCUACAUGCCGAGAUUUUGAGCGAGUUGAGUUCCCCGUUUCCAUUGUUAUUCAGAAUUAUACCUGCAAACAUCACUAAAAAGUCUCUUUGGAAGAUCAGAACCAUCGUUGAGGACAUCGUAUUGUGUUUAAGUUCCACAAAGCACAGACUCCUGAUAUUUCAGGCAGCAGCUUUAAGACAAUGGUCUCCACUGGUCACAGAAUGCGCAUUAAAAACUUUAUGCUAUGAGCUCCGUUUUAAGGAAUAGAGAAGACACAACUUCUUAUGUUGUGGAGACUAAUGUUGGGUGGGGGACUCAUUGCAGGCAUUCCAAAGAAAAAAAUUGUCUUAAAACUUGUGCCUGCCUAAUGAGAAAUAUGAAGUCUUAGGUAGUACUGCAGAAUGUACAUCUGAGUUGUAAGACUCUAACUUCUUCUAGCUUAGGACCUCAUGAAGUUAAAAGAAUAGAAAGUGUUGUUUUUUUUCCCUGUAGAACAUAGAAUUAUAGUUUUUCCCUUUAUGGUAAGUAUUAUUUUCUGUCUUCUAAUAAUCAAGUAUCUGUAGAUGUUAAUAGCCUGUUGGAAAAUAUCGAUGGAAACAUGGGCAGAGGUAAUCUAGGAAUUAAGAAUGCUGUCAACUUCCUACUCCUGGUACCACUGGGACCCAGAAAACACUAUUGGGGGAGCACUGGGAAACUUCAAACAGAAAAUAGGACGGGAAACUCGAGGCAAACACCAUGACAGUAAAAAGAACAAUGCUUGUGAAAAACAAAUAUAAGGCUGAAACAAUGUCCUAGGCAUCUUAUUCUCCGCUUCCUGACAGGGUGAGCCGAGUGAAGGGAGAUAAGGUCAUAUUGACAUAACCUUCUGUCAUUACUCUAUUCCGGAAGGGAAUUUUUAAAACACGUGAAUUUAGCAUCAAAAUAUAUGAAAAGUAACAUACAAGAAAAAAGAUCACAACAAAAAUUAAUGAUAAAGCCUAUGAGGAGUUCCUGUUUGGCUCAGUGGUUAAAGAAUCCGACUACAAACCGUGAGGUUACAUGUUCGAUCCCUGGCCUUGCCCAGCGGGUUAAGGAUUUGGCAUUGCUGUGAGCUGUGGUGUAGGUCACAGAUGCGGCUUGUGUCCUGCAUUGCUGUGGCUGUGGUGUAGGACAGCAGCUGUAGCUCCGAUUUGACCCCUAGGCUGGGAACUUCCAUACGCUGCAGGUGUGGACCUAGAAAAGAUAAAAAG
rnacentral:lncRNA from 1 species